rnacentral:rRNA from 1 species
GACGAAGGGGGCUAGCGUUGUUCGGAAUUACUGGGCGUAAAGCGCGUGUAGGCGGUUGUUCAAGUCAGGUGUGAAAGCCUUGAGCUCAACUCAAGAAAUGCACUUGAUACUGGAUGACUAGAGGACCGGAGAGGGAUGCGGAAUUCCAGGUGUAGCGGUGAAAUGCGUAGAUAUCUGGAGGAACACCGGUGGCGAAGGCGGCAUCCUGGACCGACACUGACACUGAGGAGCGAAAGCCAGGGGAGCAAACGGG